rnacentral:rRNA from 1 species
GAUUGAACGCUGGCGGCAUGCCUUCCCCAUGCAAGUCGAACGGUAACGGGCCUUCGGGUGCCGACGAGUGGCGAACGGGUGAGUAAUACAUCGGAACGUGCCCGAUCGUGGGGGAUAACGAGGCGAAAGCUUUGCUAAUACCGCAUACGAUCUACGGAUGAAAGCAGGGGACCGCAAGGCCUUGCGCGGACGGAGCGGCCGAUGGCAGAUUAGGUAGUUGGUGGGAUAAAAGCUUACCAAGCCAACGAUCUGUAGCUGGUCUGAGAGGAUGAUCAGCCACACUGGGACUGAGACACGGCCCAGACUCCUACGGGAGGCAGCAGUGGGGAAUUUUGGACAAUGGGCGCAAGCCUGAUCCAGCCAUGCCGCGUGCAGGAUGAAGGCCUUCGGGUUGUAAACUGCUUUUGUACGGAACGAAAAGCCUUCUUUUAAUACAGGAGGGUCAUGACGGUACCGUAAGAAUAAGCACCGGCUAACUACGUG